UACGGAGAGGGCUAGCGUUAUUCGGAAUUAUUGGGCGUAAAGGGCGCGUAGGCGGAUUAGUAAGUUAAAAGUGAAAUCUCAAGGCUCAACCUUGGAAUUGCUUUUGAAACUGCUAAUCUAGAGAUUGAAAGAGGAUAGAGGAAUUCCUAGUGUAGAGGUGAAAUUCGUAGAUAUUAGGAGGAACACCAGUGGCGAAGGCGUCUAUCUGGUUCAAAUCUGACGCUGAGGCGCGAAGGCGUGGGGAGCAAACAGG
rnacentral:rRNA from 1 species